CUCUCCUCUCGAUUCCUCCUCCCCUGACCUCUUCNNUUCCCCAACCCCCUCCUCCACCCCCUCCUCCUCUCUCCCCACCCUCUCCUACCCCCUCACCCCCCUGUGUCCCAAACUAUGGCACAAUAGGCCCCAGCUCCUCUGUCUAUUCUGUGUCCAGCAGGAGCCCGCGGUGAUUCAUUGCUCCAAUUAGGGGCUCUGCAGCCCGUGGCUCGGGCUGUCUGAAGGGUCUCCUUUGGGACCCACGAAACCCAUCAGCCGCUGCCGCUGAUCUUUAAGAAAAGGUCAAGCCGGACGCGCUAGUGCCAGAAUCAUCAGACCAUCUGGCAGGAUGGCCCUUUCCAUUAUUCCAGCACCCUGGAGAUGCACGGGAAGUUCAAGACCAGCCUGGGCUGCUUCGUGAAAACUGUCUCAAAAAGUGAGAACACAGCAGGGAUCAGGAUCCCUCUCUGCGAGUUCCAGACUGGCUUACUGGCCUGCAACUCGCUGUGUAACCCAUGCUGGCCUUGAACUCACGACAGGACUCUUCCUUCAGCUUCCUGACUUAACAAAUGUAAACCACCAUGUCUAGCACGGACUCCACUGUUACAGUGACACCAGGAAACUCAUUUGAUGCCUUGCGGUGGCCUGGCCCUACUCCUGUACAGAGUCCCAACUCUCCCACCCCCGGGUUGGCUCAGCAUGGCCCUACUCAGCCCCAGCACUGAGUCCUGAAGGAGGACUUGGCCGCCCCCAGCCCAGUGAGUCAGCCUCUUGGGUAGUCACCAUCUCUGCGGAGCCUCACCACACUUGCACGCCUCGCCUCCAGUCAGACUGCAGUUUCCUCAAAGGCCGGAAGCUCCAUUCAGGCGUCUUUGCUGUACCCAGCCCCUGUGGUGAAGAAGGAGCCCAAGGCCAGCUAAAGCACCGUGCAGUGCACUUCACACCAGCCUGUCCUUGUCCCCUAUCCCUGCAGAGCUCUGCCCCAGCCACCCACUCAGCCCCGUGCUUCAUCAUGACCUGACAUCACCACCUGACACCGGUGAGAGGCACUCUGAUCCCCCUCACCAGAAUCCCACCGUAUACCCAGAAGCAGCCACGCCAUCUUGGGACUCUCCCUUCUUUUUCCAGUAUCUUUGUGAGUACAGCUGUUCUCCUAUGCUAUUUCCCAGGGAUAGCCACCAAUUGGGCACUCAAAGACAGCUGGGUAAAGGCACUCUGACUUCUAGCUCAGUCCCACCUGGCCAGCUGAGAGACCUUUUCCAGCUGAGGGAAUCCCUGGACCUUCCAACUUUCCAGUACAGAACCUGACUCAAAGAACAGUAAGUCCAAUUAAGACAUCCUAUCUGUGGCCUGCUACAGGUUAAUCCAGUAAAUUUCCAUCUCAUUCCCCUUGGUGAUUUCAGAGCCACCAAAGUGUCCCCUGGACCUGUGGGCCAGGAGGGAGGUGGCUAUGUUUUAGAAGCUUCCCCCCAGACAAUAGCAGGCUGAUCUUGAAACACCCGUCUACCUUCACCAAGGUGGGGCUAGCUGUGUGCCACCGGCUUUGGGGAGGUACAGCCACUUGUUAGCCAGGUAACCAAUCCGUGGGACCAAUCCUCUGCUCAGGGUCAUAUCGCUGUCUCAGACUGGCCCAUACUGCUUGGGUCCACUGUGACCAAUAACAGGGGGUCAAGGCCAUGAGCAUCUCACAAGUGGCAGAGACCUUGAACCCACCAGCCAUUGUCACAAUGCUCCCAGGGCUGUGUCGAGGGGGGCGGGGCAGGAGGGCAGGGCUGUGGUGUGUGCCGAGAAAAUGUGCUCCCAGUGCUGGGACACACAGAAGAACCCAAUGGCCUCCUGUACCCUUAGAACAGACCUCAGGCCUGACUCCUGCCCUGGCCAAGUCCCCACCCCCACCCCUGGGGCCCUCUGAGGCUUUCCCAUGGAAUCUCUGGGUGGGUUUGGAUUCAGGCCACAAGGAACAUGUAUCGGAAGCUCACUAACAGGAAAUGCUGUGUGGCCUUGGAUAGCUUUCCAGGCUGUGGCCUUCAGCUGGCUGUGCUCUGGGUAUUGCAGCCAUUGAAGCCUUCAAUGGGAUGGGAGCGGGAAGGGCCUUGGUCCCCAGGGCUGGCAGUGACUCUUUUUCCCUCCUUGGCUGGCUGCCCCUAAACACCCUGAGCAGAGCCCAUUUAUCUAGAGGCUCUGGGUAGACACAGCAUCUUCAAAUCCUGUUUUGGGCCGUGAAUGUCCAGGCUUCAGCUAAAAGGCAGAGAGAGAGAGAGAGACAGACUUGACCAUCCCAGGAGAGGUGGGGGNNNNNNGGGGGGGGGGGAGUGGAGGGACCCUUUUGGCAGCUCUCUCCUCUUGCCAUGUCCUUAGUACAAGGAGUGGUGGCCCAGAGCCAUGAGGAGGGUACAACAGGAGGCUCAGGUGAAGAGUCACAGCUGGAUCGGGCGGUAGCUCUGCUCAUAUUUUCUGUGCUGGCUCCAAAUGCAGAGGAACCCACUGGCGGAGGAGAUAGCAACCCACC
ensembl:lincRNA A330074K22Rik RIKEN cDNA A330074K22 gene